CUGGUCUUGAACUCCUGACCGCAAGUGAUCUGCCUGCCUUGGCCUUCCAAAGCGCUGGGAUUACAGGUGUGAGCCACUGUGUCCAGCCCCACCAAAGGGUUUUUAACUCCUUAUUGUCUUGCCAGGAUAUGAAGAGGGUUAUCCCAGAUAGGAGCUACAAUCUGGAUCUUUCUUGGCCAAGUAUGGAGGAAAACAAAACAGGCCACCUCUAUUUCCUCAGAACACUUCAGAGCUUUUCAGACUAAAACAACAGGAACUGUGUCCCCUCGCUGUGUUUUCCUAAGAUACAUCUUCUAAAAUUCUUGGAAUCUCUGGAGUGAUAAGAGUGUCUUGGCUGGCCGUGGUGGCUCCCGCCUGUAAUCCCAGCACUUUGGGAGGCCAAGGCAGGUGGAUCACCUGAGGUCAGGAGUUCAAGAUCAGCCUGGCCAACAUGGUGAAACCCCAUCUCUACUAAAAAUACAAAAAUUAGCCAGGCGUGGUGGCGCAUACCUGUAAUACCAGUUACGGGGGAGGCUGAGGCAGGAGAAUCGCUUGAAUCCAGGAGGCAGAGGUUGCAGUGAGCCGAGAUUGCGCCAUUGCACUCCAGCCUGAGCGACAAGAGCGAAACUGUCACUCAAAAACAAAAAACAAAUGUACGGUGUCAGAACUAAAUUGAAUUAGAGGACACCCAGCUCGCGUCUGCUGCAGAACUGAUGACUUGCUUGGUGGGGAGAAAUCUACACAUUUGGUAAGCAGAGUGCAACGGCGUGAUAUCGGCUCACUGCAACCUCUGCCUCCCAGGUUCAAGCGAUU